GAGAGAUGGCUGAGCGGUCGAAAGCGGCGGUCUUGAAAACCGUUGAAGGGGGCGACCUCUUCCCAGGGUUCGAAUCCCUGUCUCUCC
rnacentral:tRNA from 1 species